CGGAACACUACACAACCUUCCGAUAAGUGGGGAAUAGCCCAGAGAAAUUUGAUUAAUACCCUAACAUAUAGAGUAGGCAUCUUCUUUAUAUUAUAGCUUCGGCGCUUAUUGAUGGGUGUGCGUCUGAUUAGGUAGUUGGCGGGGUAACGGCCCACCAAGCCUACGAUCAGUAGCUGAUGUGAGAGCAUGAUCAGCCACACGGGCACUGAGACACGGGCCCG
rnacentral:rRNA from 1 species